GCCGCCGCCGCCGCUCCCGGCUAGUGCGGCGAGGACUGGCCGGCGGGGCGGCCCGGGCCCGGCCCGCCUCCUCAGCGCCCUUCCCGGCUUCUCCCCCUGGCGGUGAGAGCCUCGGCGGCCGCCGGCUACAACGAGCGCACUGGAGCCCGAGCCGAGCCGAGCCCGCGCCGCCGCCGCCGCCGCCGCUCCGGGGCUCCCUGUGAGAGCGCCCGGGUGUGGGGUCGGCGGGCUCGGGGCGCGCCCCGGGUCGGGCCGAAGACCGGACCGUCCGCCGCAGGGAGGAUCCCAGGAGCCAUCACGUUCUCCUGCCUUAAUUUACUAAGAUGCUGAAUUGCCUAACCUACACCAGUGUCUCCAUCUGAGAAAGACAUCAGGUUUAGAUGUCGCGGGUCUCUGUCCUGUUAAGUUGAGCUGCAGAACUUCCCUGUCAAUUCUCCUAGUCUUGCUGUAACAGCCCUGAUCCCCUUGUAUGAAGGUGAAUGUCUCCAGAAAAUACAGUGGCCAUAUACACAGGAAGUAGAUGAAAGUAAAUUAAAAGCCUCCACUCUAUUUCAUGUCUGAAAAUGGGUCAAUGUUCACAUAGCUACAUGUCCUUCCUCAUAGGGGGAUAAUAGCCAGGAAGAAAAUAUUUGAACAUGGAAGACUGAAGCUGCUACAGGACAGUGCUGACUAAACUUUGAUUUGCAUUUGCACCCCUGGAGGAUCUUGUGUCAAGACAGAUUCAGAUUCAAAAGGUUUGGGUUAGGUCCCAAUAUUUUUUUCUAACAAGAUGAUGCCAGGCUGCUGUUCUGUGAAUGCCAAGAGUUUAGAGCCCUUCCUUAGGCAACUCCUGUCCCCUCUGUGCAGUCAGCAAAAGGAGAGCACUUCCUGGUCAGAGGCUUAAAAAAAAAAAAACAGGAAAUACACAGCAUGUAUUUGGAUGAGACUAGAAACAAAACGAACAAGUUAACGAAGAAAUACGUUCAUCAAAACCUGACAUUAUUACUAACAUUGAGAUGGAAUGGAGUCAAAGGUGGGCUACCCAGGUAUUCAGUGUUUAAGUGCAGCUGCUUUUGAAAUUUAAUUUUAAGUUGUAACAAGAAUCACUGUAUCUAGUUAUAUCCUUCCCUAGAGAGGAAAGUUCAAGUUUCCAUAAAGGAGGAACUAAAGCUCUCAGAAUUACUGAGUUGUACAGUGCUAAUUUAUAUGAAUCUUCACCUUCCUCCAUAAGUUUCUAAUGAUUAUGGUUUCUGGAGAAUAAUAUAUCACUUUUUUAAUGCAUAUUCUUAAUCUACAAAACAAAAAACUUCCAAAAAUUUAAACUAGAAAAACAUUUUAGAAUGUUUUAGAACACUCAGGAUGUUCUGUCAUAGGGAGAGAAUGAAGUGUCAUGUGUGUAUAUGUGUAUGAUUAUUCUGUGUUAUUAUAAACUUCCAGAGCAUAGCAUGCAUUUUCAGAGACGUUGUCUUAGCAUUUAAACUGCAAGGCCCUUUUGUAGAAGCCCUCUUCUUGCUCACCAGCAAGCCCUAUAGAUAGGUAACUCUGGCAAUCUUAUAUGUGAUUUAUUAAUAUGUCAUGUUCUUGACCAAGUAAACCUGAUUUUGCUAAUUACUUAUCAGUUCUUUUACCUUGUAUUUCUUUAAGAGCAGCAUUGCUUGUUUUACCAAAUAUAUAUUGUCCAACUUGCAGAAAAUACUAAUGAUAUUACAGAUAACAAAAUGAGAUUAUGUGUGCAGAUCCCUGCAUCCUGGUGGGCACUAUCUUGUUUAGUAAGUUUUUCCUUCUGCUGUUGCCACUGCCAAACAGACUGCUUAUGAAAUCUUUGGCUUUCUUAACGACUCUUCAGGGAUCACUAAAAUGUUUCUUUUUUCCUGGAUGCCAACUUCAUCUCCUUUUAAGAAUAUAGUAUUAGUUUAAAGGGAUACUCAAUUUAAAGCAAACUUGUAGAUUCAGUCACUCAUGAUUGAUAUUAGGCAAGCAGAAAAAAAAUAGGUUGAUUUUUAUCCUCCAACUUUUUUAUCUUUGAUGGUGAAGGUGGCUACUUUUUUUAAACCACAGCCUGGUAUGUAUUGUUUGAAAACUUGUUUGAAAGUUGUCUUAACCUAUGUCGUUCUUCUGUUUUUAUCUGUAGAAAUGAGAAAACAUAUAUGUCAGCUACUUGUUUCUUUUAAGUACUCAAAUUAAUAUUUUUCUUGAAAUAAAUAAUAAUUACAGUUUUAAGUUGUCAUAUUAAUAUUUUACAUGAAGUAAGCUCAAUAUGUAUACACAGCAUAGCAGUAAAGACAUCUCAAAUAAUAAGUAAUUCGUGAAACUAAGUUUGAAAUUUAAGCACUGCUAAUAUGUCUACAUAUUUGUAUUUCUUUUCUUGGACUUGGUCUGUUUAAAAUAAUAGUUAUGGCCUAUUGUGUUAUUUGUUAUUCUGUCAUUUAAAAUGUAAAUUAUGCUGUCUUGAAUUAUUUGUGUAAAGCUGAGUUUAUAGGUAAGUUUAUAGUACCAAUAAACAACCAGUGAUUACAUUUUUACUGAGAAAACUCAUUAUUCCUACUUUAAAUGUACCAACAGUCUCUCAACCAUAAGGUUUUUUUGGUACCAGGGAUCGAACUCUGGACCUUGCACUUGUGAGGCAGGUGGCAGAACCACAAUCCCCGCAUAAGUUUAUGCACAUGACAGUGUUGCCUGG
ensembl:lncRNA